AAUCCCCCCGGGGAGUUUAAUUUGAAGAUUGCGUCUUGGAGGCGACCGUGUCUAUGUUCCUUGGAACAGGACGUCACAGAGGGUGAGAAUCCCGUGCGGCACGGCCCCCGGCUCCUUAUAAGGCGCUCUCGACGAGUUGAGUUGUUUGGGAAUGCAGCUCAAAGUGGGUGGUAAAUUCCAUCUAAAGCUAAAUACAGGCGAGAGACCGAUAGCGAACAAGUACAGUGAUGGAAAGAUGAAAAGCACUUUGAAAAGAGAGUGAAACAGCACGUGAAAUUGUUGAAAGGGAAGGGCAUGCCGUCAGAUUGUCAGUGUGGGUAAGAAGCGGGGUACAAAGACUGUGGAACGUGGCCCUCGUGUGUUAUAGCGCAGUUCAUGCCCCGUCUCUUUCCGAG
rnacentral:rRNA from 1 species